rnacentral:rRNA from 1 species
UACAGAGGUCUCAAGCGUUUGUUCGGAUUCAUUGGGCGUAAAGGGUGCGUAGGUGGGCAGGUAAGUCAGUGGUGAAAUCUCCGGGCUUAACCCGGAACUGCCGUUGAUACUAUUUGUCUUGAAUAUAGUGGAGGUGAGCGGAAUAUGUCAUGUAGCGGUGAAAUGCUUAGAUAUGACAUAGAACACCAAUUGCGAAGGCAGCUUGCUACACUAUUAUUGACACUGAGGCACGAAAAGCGUGGGGGAUCAAACAGG